AGUGAACGCUGGCGGUAGGCCUAACACAUGCAAGUCGAACGGCAGCACAGUAAGAGCUUGCUCUUACGGGUGGCGAGUGGCGGACGGGUGAGGAAUACAUCGGAAUCUACUUUUUCGUGGGGGAUAACGUAGGGAAACUUACGCUAAUACCGCAUACGACCUACGGGUGAAAGCAGGGGAUCUUCGGACCUUGCGCGAUUGAAUGAGCCGAUGUCGGAUUAGCUAGUUGGCGGGGUAAAGGCCCACCAAGGCGACGAUCCGUAGCUGGUCUGAGAGGAUGAUCAGCCACACUGGAACUGAGACACGGUCCAGACUCCUACGGGAGGCAGCAGUGGGGAAUAUUGGACAAUGGGCGCAAGCCUGAUCCAGCGAUACCGCGUGGGUGAAGAAGGCCUUCGGGUUGUAAAGCCCUUUUGUUGGGAAAGAAAAGCAGCAGGUUAAUACCCCACUGUUCUGACGGUACCCAAAGAAUAAGCACCGGCUAACUUCGUG
rnacentral:rRNA from 1 species